rnacentral:rRNA from 1 species
UUAAGCGACUAAGCGUACACGGUGGAUGCCCUGGCAGUCAGAGGCGAUGAAGGACGUGCUAAUCUGCGAUAAGCGUCGGUAAGGUGAUAUGAACCGUUAUAACCGGCGAUUUCCGAAUGGGGAAACCCAGUGUGAUUCGUCACACUAUCAUUAACUGAAUCCAUAGGUUAAUGAGGCGAACCGGGGGAACUGAAACAUCUAAGUACCCCGAGGAAAAGAAAUCAACCGAGAUUCCCCCAGUAGCGGCGAGCGAACGGGGAGCAGCCCAGAGCCUGAAUCAGUGUGUGUGUUAGUGGAAGCGUCUGGAAAGGCGCGCGAUACAGGGUGACAGCCCCGUACACAAAAAUGCACAUGCUGUGAGCUCGAUGAGUAGGGCGGGACACGUGGUAUCCUGUCUGAAUAUGGGGGGACCAUCCUCCAAGGCUAAAUACUCCUGACUGACCGAUAGUGAACCAGUACCGUGAGGGAAAGGCGAAAAGAACCCCGGCGAGGGGAGUGAAAAAGAACCUGAAACCGUGUACGUACAAGCAGUGGGAGCACAGAGCAAUCUGUGUGACUGCGUACCUUUUGUAUAAUGGGUCAGCGACUUAUAUUCUGUAGCAAGGUUAACCGAAUAGGGGAGCCGAAGGGAAACCGAGUCUUAACUGGGCGUUAAGUUGCAGGGUAUAGACCCGAAACCCGGUGAUCUAGCCAUGGGCAGGUUGAAGGUUGGGUAACACUAACUGGAGGACCGAACCGACUAAUGUUGAAAAAUUAGCGGAUGACUUGUGGCUGGGGGUGAAAGGCCAAUCAAACCGGGAGAUAGCUGGUUCUCCCCGAAAGCUAUUUAGGUAGCGCCUCGUGAAUUCAUCUCCGGGGGUAGAGCACUGUUUCGGCAAGGGGGUCAUCCCGACUUACCAACCCGAUGCAAACUGCGAAUACCGGAGAAUGUUAUCACGGGAGACACACGGCGGGUGCUAACGUCCGUCGUGAAGAGGGAAACAACCCAGACCGCCAGCUAAGGUCCCAAAGUCAUGGUUAAGUGGGAAACGAUGUGGGAAGGCCCAGACAGCCAGGAUGUUGGCUUAGAAGCAGCCAUCAUUUAAAGAAAGCGUAAUAGCUCACUGGUCGAGUCGGCCUGCGCGGAAGAUGUAACGGGGCUAAACCAUGCACCGAAGCUGCGGCAGCGACGCUGAUGCGUUGUUGGGUAGGGGAGCGUUCUGUAAGCCUGCGAAGGUGUGCUGUGAGGCAUGCUGGAGGUAUCAGAAGUGCGAAUGCUGACAUAAGUAACGAUAAAGCGGGUGAAAAGCCCGCUCGCCGGAAGACCAAGGGUUCCUGUCCAACGUUAAUCGGGGCAGGGUGAGUCGACCCCUAAGGCGAGGCCGAAAGGCGUAGUCGAUGGGAAACAGGUUAAUAUUCCUGUACUUGGUGUUACUGCGAAGGGGGGACGGAGAAGGCUAUGUUGGCCGGGCGACGGUUGUCCCGGUUUAAGCGUGUAGGCUGGUUUUCCAGGCAAAUCCGGAAAAUCAAGGCUGAGGCGUGAUGACGAGGCACUACGGUGCUGAAGCAACAAAUGCCCUGCUUCCAGGAAAAGCCUCUAAGCAUCAGGUAACAUCAAAUCGUACCCCAAACCGACACAGGUGGUCAGGUAGAGAAUACCAAGGCGCUUGAGAGAACUCGGGUGAAGGAACUAGGCAAAAUGGUGCCGUAACUUCGGGAGAAGGCACGCUGAUAUGUAGGUGAAGUCCCUCGCGGAUGGAGCUGAAAUCAGUCGAAGAUACCAGCUGGCUGCAACUGUUUAUUAAAAACACAGCACUGUGCAAACACGAAAGUGGACGUAUACGGUGUGACGCCUGCCCGGUGCCGGAAGGUUAAUUGAUGGGGUUAGCGCAAGCGAAGCUCUUGAUCGAAGCCCCGGUAAACGGCGGCCGUAACUAUAACGGUCCUAAGGUAGCGAAAUUCCUUGUCGGGUAAGUUCCGACCUGCACGAAUGGCGUAAUGAUGGCCAGGCUGUCUCCACCCGAGACUCAGUGAAAUUGAACUCGCUGUGAAGAUGCAGUGUACCCGCGGCAAGACGGAAAGACCCCGUGAACCUUUACUAUAGCUUGACACUGAACAUUGAGCCUUGAUGUGUAGGAUAGGUGGGAGGCUUUGAAGUGUGGACGCCAGUCUGCAUGGAGCCGACCUUGAAAUACCACCCUUUAAUGUUUGAUGUUCUAACGUUGACCCGUAAUCCGGGUUGCGGACAGUGUCUGGUGGGUAGUUUGACUGGGGCGGUCUCCUCCUAAAGAGUAACGGAGGAGCACGAAGGUUGGCUAAUCCUGGUCGGACAUCAGGAGGUUAGUGCAAUGGCAUAAGCCAGCUUGACUGCGAGCGUGACGGCGCGAGCAGGUGCGAAAGCAGGUCAUAGUGAUCCGGUGGUUCUGAAUGGAAGGGCCAUCGCUCAACGGAUAAAAGGUACUCCGGGGAUAACAGGCUGAUACCGCCCAAGAGUUCAUAUCGACGGCGGUGUUUGGCACCUCGAUGUCGGCUCAUCACAUCCUGGGGCUGAAGUAGGUCCCAAGGGUAUGGCUGUUCGCCAUUUAAAGUGGUACGCGAGCUGGGUUUAGAACGUCGUGAGACAGUUCGGUCCCUAUCUGCCGUGGGCGCUGGAGAACUGAGGGGGGCUGCUCCUAGUACGAGAGGACCGGAGUGGACGCAUCACUGGUGUUCGGGUUGUCAUGCCAAUGGCACUGCCCGGUAGCUAAAUGCGGAAGAGAUAAGUGCUGAAAGCAUCUAAGCACGAAACUUGCCCCGAGAUGAGUUCUCCCUGACUCCUUGAGAGUCCUGAAGGAACGUUGAAGACGACGACGUUGAUAGGCCGGGUGUGUAAGCGCAGCGAUGCGUUGAGCUAACCGGUACUAAUGAACCGUGAGGCUUAACCU